AACGAACGCUGGCGGCAUGCCUAACACAUGCAAGUCGAACGAGACCUUCGGGUCUAGUGGCGCACGGGUGCGUAACGCGUGGGAACCUGCCCUUGGUUCGGAAUAACUCCCCGAAAGGGGUGCUAAUACCGGAUAAUGUCUUCGGACCAAAGAUUUAUCGCCUUUGGAUGGGCCCGCGUUGGAUUAGCUAGUUGGUAGGGUAAAAGCCUACCAAGGCGACGAUCCAUAGCUGGUCUGAGAGGAUGAUCAGCCACACUGGGACUGAGACACGGCCCAGACUCCUACGGGAGGCAGCAGUGGGGAAUAUUGGACAAUGGGCGAAAGCCUGAUCCAGCAAUGCCGCGUGAGUGAUGAAAGCCUUAGGGUUGUAAAGCUCUUUUACCCGGGAUGAUAAUGACAGUACCGGGAGAAUAAGCUCCGGCUAACUCCGUG
rnacentral:rRNA from 1 species